AACCAACACUAGCUUAAACUAACCUACAUUCUUCUCAUGUUUUAUUAGAAUUUAUCUUAAUUAUCGGCUGUUUCUUUUGGACUUGCUAGAUCACCGACCCCAGAAUGGACCAUUCUCUCAUUCCAUUUUCUAGAGAGCCUUGGAUAACUGAUUUAUGGUUUCAUGUGUAAGUUCACUUAUCAUGUUACUGAACUUUCUUCGUUCAAAAAGGUCAAAGACUAUACGUUCAACAAGAUUCCUUGUUUGCUAACCCGUUGUCUGCCACCCUUGAAUCUCUCUGUUUGUCAACAACUGAAAAAGAGGUUCCUGAAUGGAUGGAAAUGAUGAAAAAUCGCCCGGAAUUGUGCCUCAAGGCCAACCAGAAAAUAGCUCAACGGAUGAAACACGGGCAGUUUCCUUACUCCAAAGAAUUUGAACAAGAUUCUGAUGGCUUAGCAUAAUCCUGCUUGGUGGGUGUUCAUGGCAGACUGAGCGGGAGCGCGAGUGUUGCAGAUCACUGGAAUGAUCGCCAUUUGGAGUUUAGUGUUUGGCUGUUGAAGAUGUGUUGCGAUUUCUUGGUGAUGAAAAUAUGAUGAUUCUAGUGAAGAGGAUAUUGCGAGAAAACGUGAAAGAGGCUUGCAGGCUACUGUCAACUUUUUUUGCCAAAAUCAUUGUAUGCCUGCUGAAUAUGUCAAAUGAUACAGCAUACAGGAUUCAACACAAUUAUCGGCUGAUUUUCAUUGGACUCGCUAGAUCACCAUAACCCUAGUUUGGAGUUUGGACCAAUGUUGGCUGUAGCAACAUCUUUUUCUAACAAAUUUACAUUGGCAGUGUUGUGAGAAAGCUGUGACCAAAGUAAUUUUCUCUGGACUCAUUCCGUCUAUUGGAGACCUUGAGAAUGGGAACUACUACAUCUACUGGGGAAACCUGAUUGGUGUCAACUCAUCAUGUGUAAUAGCCAAGAGGUGAACAUGGAAAGGGGGUUGGCAUCUCUACAACAUCAAUUUGGCGGUGACAUCCGACAUGUGCUUCGCAGAUCAUCUAUUGUUAUUGGUAUGAUGUUUUGUUAGUUAACCCGUUGGUUGCCACGCCUUUGUUCUCCCCUAGCUCCUUAGCACGGGCCGCGCUGUUCGGUCUCGUGGUUUUCAUGCCGCGGGGUCGGA